rnacentral:rRNA from 1 species
GGAAUUUUGCGCAAUGGGCGGAAGCCUGACGCAGCACCGCCGCGUGGAGGAAGAAGGCCUCCGGGUCGUAAACUCCUGUCCCCGGGGAAGAAGCCCGUGACGGUACCCGGGGAAGCAGCCCCGGCUAACUCCGUGCCAGCAGCCGCGGUAAUACGGGGGGGGCGAGCGUUGUUCGGAUUUACUGGGUGUAAAGGGCGCGUAGGCGGCCCGAGAAGUUCUGGGUGAAAGCCCCCGGCGCAACCGGGGAAGCGCCUGGAAAACCAUCGGGCUGGAGUGCUGGAGAGGCAAGCGGAAUUUCUGGUGUAGCGGUGAAAUGCGUAGAUAUCAGAAGGAACACCUGCGGCGAAGGCGGCUUGCUGGACAGACACUGACGCUGAGGCGCGAAAGCCAGGGGAGCAAAC